UCUGCAACUCGACUGCAUGAAGUCGGAAUCGCUAGUAAUCGCGGAUCAGCAUGCCGCGGUGAAUACGUUCCCGGGCCUUGUACACACCGCCCGUCACACCAUGAGAGUCGGGAACACCCGAAGUCCGUAGCCUAACCGCAAGGGGGGCGCGGCCGAAGGUGGGUUCGAUAAUUGGGGUGAAGUCGUAACAAGGUAGC
rnacentral:rRNA from 1 species